UUUUGUAGAAUGAACCGGCGAGUUACGAUUUGAUGCAAGGUUAAGCAGUAAAUGUGGAGCCGUAGCGAAAGCGAGUCUGAAUAGGGCGUUUAGUAUUUGGUCGUAGACCCGAAACCAGGUGAUCUACCCUUGGUCAGGUUGAAGUUCAGGUAACACUGAAUGGAGGACCGAACCGACUUACGUUGAAAAGUGAGCGGAUGAACUGAGGGUAGCGGAGAAAUUCCAAUCGAACCUGGAGAUAGCUGGUUCUCUCCGAAAUAGCUUUAGGGCUAGCCUCAAGUGAUGAUUAUUGGAGGUAGAGCACUGUUUGGACGAGGGGCCCCUCUCGGGUUACCGAAUUCAGACAAACUCCGAAUGCCAAUUAAUUUAACUUGGGAGUCAGAACAUGGGUGAUAAGGUCCGUGUUCGAAAGGGAAACAGCCCAGACCACCAGCUAAGGUCCCAAAAUAUAUGUUAAGUGGAAAAGGAUGUGGCGUUGCCCAGACAACUAGGAUGUUGGCUUAGAAGCAGCCAUCAUUUAAAGAGUGCGUAAUAGCUCACUAGUCGAGUGACACUGCGCCGAAAAUGUACCGGGGCUAAACAUAUUACCGAAGCUGUGGAUUGUCCUUUGGACAAUGGUAGGAGAGCGUUCUAAGGGCGUUGAAGCAUGAUCGCAAGGACAUGUGGAGCGCUUAGAAGUGAGAAUGCCGGUGUGAGUAGCGAAAGACGGGUGAGAAUCCCGUCCACCGAUUGACUAAGGUUUCCAGAGGAAGGCUCGUCCGCUCUGGGUUAGUCGGGUCCUAAGCUGAGGCCGACAGGCGUAGGCGAUGGAUAACAGGUUGAUAUUCCUGUACCACCUAUAAUCGUUUUAAUCGAUGGGGGGACGCAGUAGGAUAGGCGAAGCGUGCGAUUGGAUUGCACGUCUAAGCAGUAAGGCUGAGUAUUAGGCAAAUCCGGUACUCGUUAAGGCUGAGCUGUGAUGGGGAGAAGACAUUGUGUCUUCGAGUCGUUGAUUUCACACUGCCGAGAAAAGCCUCUAGAUAGAAAAUAGGUGCCCGUACCGCAAACCGACACAGGUAGUCAAGAUGAGAAUUCUAAGGUGAGCGAGCGAACUCUCGUUAAGGAACUCGGCAAAAUGACCCCGUAACUUCGGGAGAAGGGGUGCUCUUUAGGGUUAACGCCCAGAAGAGCCGCAGUGAAUAGGCCCAAGCGACUGUUUAUCAAAAACACAGGUCUCUGCUAAACCGUAAGGUGAUGUAUAGGGGCUGACGCCUGCCCGGUGCUGGAAGGUUAAGAGGAGUGGUUAGCUUCUGCGAAGCUACGAAUCGAAGCCCCAGUAAACGGCGGCCGUAACUAUAACGGUCCUAAGGUAGCGAAAUUCCUUGUCGGGUAAGUUCCGACCCGCACGAAAGGCGUAACGAUUUGGGCACUGUCUCAACGAGAGACUCGGUGAAAUCAUAGUACCUGUGAAGAUGCAGGUUACCCGCGACAGGACGGAAAGACCCCGUGGAGCUUUACUGUAGCCUGAUAUUGAAAUUCGGCACAGCUUGUACAGGAUAGGUAGGAGCCUUUGAAACGUGAGCGCUAGCUUACGUGGAGGCGCUGGUGGGAUACUACCCUAGCUGUGUUGGCUUUCUAACCCGCACCACUUAUCGUGGUGGGAGACAGUGUCAGGCGGGCAGUUUGACUGGGGCGGUCGCCUCCUAAAAGGUAACGGAGGCGCUCAAAGGUUCCCUCAGAAUGGUUGGAAAUCAUUCAUAGAGUGUAAAGGCAUAAGGGAGCUUGACUGCGAGACCUACAAGUCGAGCAGGGUCGAAAGACGGACUUAGUGAUCCGGUGGUUCCGCAUGGAAGGGCCAUCGCUCAACGGAUAAAAGCUACCCCGGGGAUAACAGGCUUAUCUCCCCCAAGAGUUCACAUCGACGGGGAGGUUUGGCACCUCGAUGUCGGCUCAUCGCAUCCUGGGGCUGUAGUCGGUCCCAAGGGUUGGGCUGUUCGCCCAUUAAAGCGGUACGCGAGCUGGGUUCAGAACGUCGUGAGACAGUUCGGUCCCUAUCCGUCGUGGGCGUAGGAAAUUUGAGAGGAGCUGUCCUUAGUACGAGAGGACCGGGAUGGACAUACCUCUGGUGUACCAGUUGUCGUGCCAACGGCAUAGCUGGGUAGCUAUGUGUGGACGGGAUAAGUGCUGAAAGCAUCUAAGCAUGAAGCCCCCCUCAAGAUGAGAUUUCCCAACUUCGGUUAUAAGAUCCCUCAAAGAUGAUGAGGUUAAUAGGUUCGAGGUGGAAGCAUGGUGACAUGUGGAGCUGACGAAUACUAAUCGAUCGAAGACUUAAUCAA
rnacentral:rRNA from 1 species